UACGGAGGGUGCAAGCGUUAAUCGGAAUUACUGGGCGUAAAGCGUGCGCAGGCGGUUUGGUAAGUCCGGUGUGAAAGCCCCGAGCUCAACUUGGGAAUUGCAGUGGAUACUGGCAGGCUGGAGUACGGUAGAGGAAGGUGGAAUUCCCGGUGUAGCAGUGAAAUGCGUAGAGAUCGGGAGGAACACCAGUGGCGAAGGCGGCCUUCUGGACCAGUACUGACGCUCAUGCACGAAAGCGUGGGGAGCAAACAGG
rnacentral:rRNA from 1 species